ensembl:lncRNA
AAAAAAGGUCACUUUCAGCGUGUCUGUCGUGCAGGUGAAAAUGUGGACGGUAUUGAGACGGAGGAAGAAACCUUCCUGGGUUCUGUGACGUCCAACAAAGCUGCAUGGACCGCUGACAUAAGAAUAAGGAACACCACAAUGCGGUUUAAACUCAACACCGGAGCGGAUGUCACUGCUGUGUCACAGACCGAUAUGAACAGUAUAUUCUCCGGUACACAGCAGCCUGUACCCAACACGAUUAUCCCGUCUCUGCUGUAGGACAAACUCUCUCAGCUGCACAUGCCCACCUGCAAGUGGAUCACUGACUUCCUGUCUGACAGGAAACAGCACGUGACGUUGGGGAAACAUGUCUCAGCCUCUCGGUCCAUUAGCACCGGUUUCCCCCAAGGCUGCGUUCUUUCCUCUCUGCUCCCUGUACACAAACAGCUGCACUUCCAGUCACUAGUCCAUCAUGCUCCUGAAGUUUGCGGAUGACACCACCCUCAUUGGAUGAUCUCUGGUGGGGAUGAGGCCGCCUACAGGUGGGAGUCUGACCAUCUGGUGUCGUGGUACAGCCAGAACAACAUGGACCUCAAUGUUUUGCCUAUCAACAUCUCCCCGUCUUCUAAUAUCCUGUGUACCUGGUGGAUAUCGACGACAUAUUGUGAUAUAGGGGUGCAUGUGAGCAUUGGUGGUUCAGUGGUAGAAUUCUCGCCUGCCACGCGGGAGGCCCGGGUUCGAUUCCCGGCCAAUGCAACAGUCUUUUUAUCUUAGGGUUUUACAAUGGGGGCAAUGUUUCAGUUCUUAUGUUUUUAGGCAGGCUUUUUCUUUUUAAUUUAUAUUGCACUCAUUUAAUUUAAGUUUUUUCUUUUACAACCUGCUCAGUUUUGCACUUUUCCUCGUCACCCCAUUUCUGCCUUAUCUUUGAAUCUUUAUUUUGAUAUAUUUCAUAAUGUAUACUGUUAUGCGUCAUACUCCUUAUCUUGACUAAGCGCGCGGUGCUGGAGGAGGAUUUCGUAAAUAGAAACUUAAAAAAAAAGUUUUGACUCCCCGUCGGGGAAUUGAACCCCGGUCUCCCGCGUGACAGGCGGGGAUACUCACCACUAUACUAACGAGGAGGUGUGUCCUCAUUCUGUCACGUCUAUUUUUAACGACAACGACACUAUUCACACUAUUUUGUCUUUCAAUAAAGAAGGAAAAG